GGGGAAGGAUCACUCAAAAGAAACCCAAGCUCUGGAAAGAAGAAUCUUUAACCUCUGCUCGUCUGAAAGGACCUUUCCAAAGCCAGCCCUCCUGAGGCAGCAGCCUGGGCCCCCUCCUGGCUCAGCUCAGCCCUGGAGCGCCUCACUCAGCCGCAGCUCCCACCAGUCAAACCCACAAUGACACCUUUGGAAAGGACCCAACUACCAGGUACCCCAAAACACACACAACUGCAAAAGCAGAGGGUCACGCAGACGCAUUCGCUUAGGAAAGAAAGAGGCAGAUAAACCCAG
rnacentral:lncRNA from 1 species